CUAGGGUGCAAUCGACGCCCCUCUUCGGAGGGGGGUCCAAUCAACCUAGGUCGACGUCGGCCUGGAGCCUCGAGCUCCAGAGAUUCUGAAUCCCGGGUUCUCCCGGUCACUCGUUCAAUCGGGGGAGUCUCGGCCGGCGGCCCGUUUCCUUGCCGCACACUAUUCGUUUUUCGGGGACCGCGAAGGUGUCGGUCUCGAGCCAGCGAUGCCUGCGGGCCCGGCACGCGACGCGCCGCAGGGCGCUUCGCCCAGGGCCUGUAGCUCAGUUGGUUAGAGCGUCCGCCUGAUAAGCGGGAGGUCGAUGGUUCAAAUCCAUCCAGGCCCACCAACUUUUCCGUGGGGCUGUAGCUCAGCUGGGAGAGCGCGGGCUUUGCAAGCCUGAGGUCGUCGGUUCGAUCCCGAUCAGCUCCACCAGACCUCGUUCGGUGGAACCCCGAUCCAAGAGUUUUCAGACAGUCGCCCAUCGAGGGCGGCCGGCCGCGAACGGGCCGGUAGCGCGACUGUGAAGUCGGGCGGUCUUUGACAAUCGAAUAGUUUUCGAGUCCAAGCGAAUGCGUCUUGAGCAAGUGUCGUGAGCUUCGGCUCACGAUGCCUGCCCGGGUUUUGGUCAAGCUACGAAGGGCAGGCGGUGGAUGCCUUGGC
rnacentral:tRNA from 1 species